UACGUAGGGUGCAAGCGUUGUCCGGAAUUACUGGGCGUAAAGAGUUCGUAGGCGGUUUGUCGCGUCGUUUGUGAAAACCAGCAGCUCAACUGCUGGCUUGCAGGCGAUACGGGCAGACUUGAGUACUGCAGGGGAGACUGGAAUUCCUGGUGUAGCGGUGAAAUGCGCAGAUAUCAGGAGGAACACCGGUGGCGAAGGCGGGUCUCUGGGCAGUAACUGACGCUGAGGAACGAAAGCGUGGGUAGCGAACAGGAUUAGAAACCCUGGUAGU
rnacentral:rRNA from 1 species